CCUAUCCCACUCACGUUUUUCCCAAUUUUUCCUUUAACAAAAUACAGGCAGCAACCAUACAUACUCACACAGACCUCACUGUAUAGAGGGGGAAUUUUCACACUAUGCACAAACUCCGUUUUCCAAUCUUCCAUAGACAAUAUACAUACACACUCACACAGCAAAAUAAAAAGAGACUCUCACCAGAAAACACACACACAAUAUAGAAGGAGGCGAGAUCGGAGACGGGAAGGGUGGACAGUAAAAUGAAGAGAGGGUAUUUGAUUCGGGUCGACGAAAAAUGGAAUAAGAGGGUAUAUCGAGUUGGUGGUUUGAGAUUCGAUUUGAGGUUUUUGGAUCUGGUUUCAUCUUUCAGUAGCACACCUUGCAGAAUAAAAGCUUGAUCGGAGGUCCAAUUCUAUCUCUUCUCAUUUUUAAUUUAAUUAUAUGUGAUUGAUUUGUGUGAAGCAUGAUAUGAUCUGAAUAUUUGGUGAUUUUGAUUUGUCAUAUGAUUUCAUUGAUAGUGAUUGUGGAUUGUUGAAAAAUAGAAAUUGUGAAUUGUUACGUGGGAACCUUGGGUUAAAUUUUGGAGUGGAAAUUAAAAAUUGAUAAAAAGCAAGCGUUAGUUGUUUUGAUUCAUUGAUGUCGUUGAAUGUGAUAAUACCAUGAUAGAUCGAAUUGGGUAGUCAAACGGUAUGCUCGGGUAGACUAAUUUAGAACUUGAAGAUUGUGAAAUGUUUGAAAUAUUUGUUGAAUGGUUUAAUUUACCGCAUUUGGAUCAAUUGUACUCAUUUGGCCGGGGAAUGCCUCGAGGCACAUUGUACUUAUUCAUCGGAGAAUGCCCCGAAGUAUCAUGUACGUAAAAGAGGCUAGUGAUCGAGUAAAGCAUAGCUAGGAUAGUUAGAAUAGUUUAGGUUUUAAUUUCAACAUUUUUAUUUUGGUUUGUAAUAAAUUGGACUGGACACUAUCUUGGAGUUUUGACUGUUUGAUUGUUUGUUAUUUGUAUUGUGUGUUUUCUUUGGUUUAUGCAUUUUAUAGUGUCGUACUAGCCGAUAUACUCCACAAAGCGACCGUGGUCAUACCACGGGAUUGAGGGGUGCCUAACACCUUCCCCUCGGUCAACAGAAUUCCUUAAUUGGAAUCUCUGUUCGCAAAUCAGUUUUUAAGAGUCCAAAAUUAUUUUGAAAAAAAGAUUUCCAAAGGUGACUUAACAACUCUGAGUUUUGAUUGUUAAAAAUUCUUUUUGAAACAACUUAUUUUCUUUUGUCACUUAAUAAUAAAACCCUUUUCGAACUUAAAAUCUAAACAUUUUUGGGAAAAAAAAAAAAAGGGGUAUGACAGCUCUGACGACUCUGUUGGGGAUUUUCAGAAUUCGAACUUAUUUUUUGAGUUGUAUCGGCUUAGUGUGACACUAUAUGUGUAUAGCCACUUUGUGUUUGUUAUCGUAUGUUAUUAUUUUAUCAUUGUUGAGUGCUUACGUGUUACGUAUUUACAGUUUUUCUCUUAUGUGUUACCACUUUAUAUCUGACAUCAUAUACAUUACCCCGAGUUAAUUUUUCGCAACAAGUCCCGGAGUACACGUCAUGUACCCAAACUCUAGUUGAGUCACUCUUAUUUUAGGAGGAGGAGCCGUCAGACGUAUGGAGUAGGGGAAAGCUCUCGCAGCCACUAUCGACCAUACGCUCCCCAAACAACCUUGUUAGUGGACCCCAGCCUAGGUCAGCCUUUAUGUCAUUCUUGUCUGCAUCAUAUUGAGACCUAGCGGGACCCACUUGGUCCUUUGUAGGAGACUCAUCCCUAAAGCAUCCUUACGUGCUAAUUGUUGCAUAUUUAAGGAUAACAGGGUCAUUUAAUGGACUGAUUUGAGAAAAUCAUGUGCUAGAAUUAAAAGAAAGUGUGCAGACAAGAAAAAGUUCAAAAAAAAAAAAGGAAAGAAGAAAAAGAGAGAAAAGUGAGUCAAUUUUUUUUUUUGUAGUUUUUAGGAGUUUUUAUGGUUUUGUUUUCUACAAUCCAAUAAUUCAAAAAAGAUUCUUUUAUGGUUUUGUUUUCUAAAAUUUAAAAAUUCAAAAAAGAUUCUUCACCUUUUGUACUCAUUUUCUCAAAAAAAUAAAAACAACAUCAAAAUGAUUUUCCUUUUGUUCUCUUUAACAAAAAUUCAUAAUUUGAAAUUAUCAAUAGAUAUUUUUUCAAUAGGAGCUUUUUAUAAAAGAAAAAUUAAAAAAAAAUGGUAGAAGUUUUGCACAUUUCAUAUAACAAAAAUAUCAAAAAGAUCUUCCUUUCAUACUUGUUGGUGUCAUUUUUUAUGUUAAGUGUUAAAUUGAAAACUCAAAAAAGAUUUUAUUGACGUUUUUCAUCUUCUGUUUGUGAUCGUGUCUCUCAAGUCAAGGUUCAGUCAGUUGUUUAAUAUUUAAUUGUCCAAUCUGGACAAAAUAUGCUCACCUGAUCCUCUUUUCUCAAGAGUGAGAUACGUAGGCAACCUUUCGUGGAUUCAGUGAUCUAAUUUAAAAAAUUCAAAAAGAUUUUCUUCACUCACCAUUUAGAGUAGGUGUUUCAUAGAUAUCUUUAAAAAAACUACAAAAAAUAUUUUCCUCUGAUAGUUUCAAGUUUCUUUUCAUAUGAAAUGCAAAUCGAAAAUUCAAAAAGAUAUUUCUUUGGUAAUCAUAGGUUUCAUUUUGUAUAGGAAUUUUAAAGCUGAAAAAAUUCAAAAAAAAUUUCGAUAAUCCUUUUGACAAUUUUUUUUUCUUUUCUUCUUAAAGUUUCAAGAAAAAGAAAAAGAAAAAGAAAAAGAAAAAGAAAAAGAAAAGAAAGAGAAAGAGAGUUUGAUUGGACUUUUUUUGGUCAAACUACACAAAUUGUGCACACCCGAUUCUCCUCUCCCGGGAGUGAGAUACGUAGACGCCCUUUUUGGGUUUGGUGAUCUUUUCAAAAGAAAAAAAAAGAGCAAAAAAAUAAAGAGUUUUUGAAAAAGUCUUGCAUUCUAACGCCUUUGUUAUUUCUUAUUCAGUUAGUUUAAGGUGGUUGGUUUGUGAAAUUUUAGUUGGUCCUCUAUAUUACAAAAAAUCCAGGGAAGAGAGUCAUGUCCAGCAAGAAUAUAGAGAGUGACAUCAUGGAUCAGACAAAAAGUCAGGAAAAUAAAAGUUUAAUGUAAGAGAUUGUGAGUUUGAGGCAACAAAUGAUGGAAAUGUAUCGAGCUUGGGCCAGUGGGCUGCCUCCUUCUCUAUUUUCCACUAUUGACCCUACAAAUACCUUGAGUUUUUCACCAAAAUUGCAAGGCCAAUUUUCUGCUGUUGGUUAUGCGCCAUAACAUGCCUCAGAAUUUAGUCCAAGCCAAAAGCAUCCUAAUGCUUCCGUCACUCAUUCUCUAGCUCUUCAGUGUAAAUCUACCAUAUUGAUAUCACAACCUAUCGUCUCUGCUUCUGUUGCUCAACCCUCUACUGAAGCUUCCACUUUGGAUUUUCGUCUGGCGAUUAUGCUUCCCCAAUCUGCUAGUGAGUCAAUGUUUAAUACUCUUGAUGAUCACUAUUAUACUCUUGAGCCCACAUCUAUGUUAAUUGGACCACUAAAUUUUUUUACCAAGAAGUCUGACAUGAAAGAAGAGCAAGAAAAACUGGCUAGGAAAAUGAAGAGCACAGAAAAGGCUACGAAAAAUUCUCUGGGACUUACGAAUUAUGAAGAUUUUGCAUAUAAGGACUGGGGCAUGUCUUCAAAUGUUAAAUUCCCUCCUAACUUUGAGGUAUCAAAAUUUGAGGAAUAUGAUGGGUACGAGGAUUUUGUAAAACACUUGGAACGAUAUUCCCAUCAGUUGAGGGGGAUUGAAGGAAAGAAGAAGGAAAAUGUAUCUAUUGUCAUUCCAGGGCAAAGCAAAGCUCGAGAGGUCCAAAUCAGCAAUAUUGUCAGUCUUAAUCCCGAUCUUACACUUCAAAUCCAUAUGCUCACCUGCAACAAGGUUCCUCUUUGCAAAAUUCAGAUAUUCCAUUCUACUUCCUCAGUAUUCUUUGAACAAUGCACAACAGUAUACUCAUCUGUCUUCUUAUCCACAAUGACGUGCACCGGUCCCUCAACAUCAUCCUCGGCCCCCACAUAUUUACCAAGGAACUUCUAAGUCCAAGGUUCAACCGAUAUCAGAGUUUGCAAAGAGGAGGAAGUCAAAGGAUAAGUUUACACCAAUUGGAAAAUCGUAUGCUAGUUUAUUCCAGAGAUUGAGAGAGUUGGACAUGAUUACUCCUCUCUUUAAGUGUACUCUUGACCUCAUUCAAGAAAUUUUGAUCCUCAUGUACGAUGUGUAUAUCAUUCUGAUGUUUAGGGUCACAGUAUUGAAGGUUGUAGUGCUUUGAAAAGAGAAAUAAAAAGGAUGAUUAAAGAAAAAUUGAUCGUAGUGCAAAACAUUGACACUACAAAGGUCACAUAGAAUCUUUCAUCAACGCAUGGUAAUGAAAAAUAUGUGGAAAGUAAUGAGUUAAGCAUGGAGAUCCAAAAUUUAUUUGUUGAAGAGAAUGUGUCUGACAGUGGUGGAAGCUCUAGUCAUGCUGAUAUGCAAACCAGUGGCUAAGAUGUCAGCAAUUGAGAAGUCACUCCUCUCCCUACUAGGAAGAGGUCUGAUAUUUUGUUUGUUUUCUUUUCUAUUAUCUGAAUUAUUUCACGAUUGUAGUUCGGGAUCUAUCUUGUUUUGUCCCUUUGUCGUUUAUAUUCAAACCCUUCUAUCUUUCAUUUUAACUAAAUGGAGUGUCCCUUUUCCCUUUGUGUUUUAAAUAUGUGUUGUUGUUUUUUUACAUAGUGCAUUUUAGGUUAGUUUAAGUGAUAUUACAUGCUUGCAGAAUUUUUAGGUAGAUCUUAAAAUCCAGCUUAAGCAUGAACUUUGAAUCAGAGGGCUAAAGUUAGAAAAAGGCAUCUGAGAAAAUAGGAAGAGUGUUGAGACAUUGGGUGACCAAGUUGAAGCCUUCUUUGAAAAUUAAGGCAAUUAUUUUGAGAAUUACAAGAAUAACUUGAUCAUCAAUUGAAAGACAUGUCUCAAUUAGGUUAAACAAUGAAUGCGUGAUCCUAUAUCAAAAGGAAUAGAAAGAAAAUCAACUCCACAAAAGCAUGAGUCAUUCGAUGUAAAAGAUGUACAAUAAAGGUGGAGUUGUAUAACUGGACAAGCGUAGAAGAAGUAGUGACACACAGACUCAGUUAAAGUUAGUGCUGUAAAAAAAUGUCACAAAUGAUCUUCAUCUUUCACUGUCAUAUUGCAUGAUAUGUACUUGCAUUUUCAAGGAUUGAUAUGGCGAAGACAUUUCAUUUUGCUAUCCAAACAUUGUGUCAUCCUUUGUUUACCCCGUUUGAACUUUAAUUCUAUUUUCUUUCAUACCCCUCUUUUGGAAUCAAUAUAGAGUCAACAAAGUUCAAGAAAAAGUGGUGAGUAAAAGAAUGGAGUCAGAAAAAAAAGAGAAGACAAAUGUGUCAAAAAUAAAGAAAAGUGAUGAGUAUCAAGAAAAAUAGGGUCAGACAAAGUUUUAAAGAGAAAAAAAGCCAAUAAAAGAGAAUAAAUAAAUAAAUUAGAGUCAAGCAAAAGAAUAAAUUAUCGGAACUACGUGUGACCUGAUUAUCCUCUCUCGAAGGUGAGAUACGUAGGCAGCCCUACUUUGGGCUCAGCCCAACUAAACGAACAAUUUAGAAUUACCCAGUUAAAGAAAGUGGGGCAUGGAUUAAUUUUCAUUGUUUGAGUCAAUUCCAAAAGUUGUAAGUCUCUCCCCACUUCAAGUGUCGUUUGGGCCUCAUGCCAUUUUUUUUCUAACCUUAUCCAAAAGUCAAGUUACAACCAAAGAAAGACCUUCAGAUCAAUCGUUGAGAAUGAUAAGGCUAAGCAUGCAAUGCAUAUAAUGAUGCAUUUUGGAAACUACUUGUUUUCCUCAGCAUAAGUAAUCAGAAGAGAAAUAAAAAUGAGAGUCUUAUCGGUGAAAACCCUUACGGGAACCGUAAGACGAUUCUGAGUUGAGAGAAUGAAAAUAUGAGAGUCUCAUUGGUGAAAACCCUCACAGACACUAUAGGACAAUGGAGAGUUGAGAGAAAGAAAAUAAAAUAAACUUAUUGACGAAAACUCUUUAAGGAGUCACUAACUGAAUGAGGUCUCCAAGUGCGAUUGACCCAAGAAAGUAACUCAAUUUCAGGACCAUUAACUCAACAACAAUUGACAAAAUUUUGGAUGGAAAGAUCAGACAACUUAAUCCAAAAUGUAUGUCAUAAUCAUUAGAGUUGACUAUCACUUUCAGAUAAAUUUUCCUUUUCUUUGUUUCAAUGGACAUUCAUUGUCUGUUCUUUCUUCUUUAUAUUUUUAUUUUUGUUUUUUCGAGUUAGUUAUUCAAAUAGAAAGUCAUUUUUCUUGUGUCUUUGAGUCAAACAAAUGUCAAAGCAAGUGAUAAAAGAUUUCAAAACUGGCUACCAACUUCUUUAAUUGCACAAAGUAAGACAAAGGGCCAGCACAUGAAAGAGACAUGAUUGUGAGCCAAAAUAAGGCAUGCAGAAAGUUUUGUCAACAGAUAAGUCUUGAAACUCAUGGAAAUACAAAGUUUUAAAGGAUUUAUCUGAGGAACAUAGCAAAAAAGAGAUAUUGUGUUUGUUUCAGAGUCACUCUUAAUAAUCUGAGUUUUGAUCAAUGGUGCAGCAACUCAAUACAUAUGCUAAUGAUUGGAAGCAAGAUUAGAAGUGACAAAUGCAAGAGAAUUCACCUCAAAAGCUAAACCACAAGCUAACCACCAUGUUUUUAAACUCACAAGUUUUCUUUGUAUGAAACAGGAACACAUGUUACCUUCAAAUAAGGAUUUCAAAGCUUAAACAUCAAAGGCCAUAAUUUCUUACUUCUACAAAUGCAAGAGGCAACGUUGCUUUACCGAUUUGGUAAUCAAAACCAUG
rnacentral:lncRNA from 1 species